rnacentral:rRNA from 1 species
UUUAUGGAGAGUUUGAUCCUGGCUCAGAGUGAACGCUGGCGGCGUGCCUAAUACAUGCAAGUCGAACGAUGAAGCUUCUAGCUUGCUAGAAUGCUGAUUAGUGGCGCACGGGUGAGUAACGCAUAGGUCAUGUGCCUUUUAGUUUGGGAUAGCCAUUGGAAACGAUGAUUAAUACCAGAUACUCCCUACGGGGGAAAGAUUUAUCGCUAAGAGAUCAGCCUAUGUCCUAUCAGCUUGUUGGUAAGGUAAUGGCUUACCAAGGCUAUGACGGGUAUCCGGCCUGAGAGGGUGAACGGACACACUGGAACUGAGACACGGUCCAGACUCCUACGGGAGGCAGCAGUAGGGAAUAUUGCUCAAUGGGGGAAACCCUGAAGCAGCAACGCCGCGUGGAGGAUGAAGGUUUUAGGAUUGUAAACUCCUUUUGUUAGAGAAGAUAAUGACGGUAUCUAACGAAUAAGCACCGGCUAACUCCGUGCCAGCAGCCGCGGUAAUACGGAGGGUGCAAGCGUUACUCGGAAUCACUGGGCGUAAAGAGCGCGUAGGCGGGAUAGUCAGUCAGGUGUGAAAUCCUAUGGCUUAACCAUAGAACCGCAUUUGAAACUACUAUUCUAGAGUGUGGGAGAGGUAGGUGGAAUUCUUGGUGUAGGGGUAAAAUCCGUAGAGAUCAAGAGGAAUACUCAUUGCGAAGGCGACCUGCUGGAACAUUACUGACGCUGAUUGCGCGAAAGCGUGGGGAGCAAACAGGAUUAGAUACCCUGGUAGUCCACGCCCUAAACGAUGGAUGCUAGUUGUUGGAGGGCUUAGUCUCUCCAGUAAUGCAGCUAACGCAUUAAGCAUCCCGCCUGGGGAGUACGGUCGCAAGAUUAAAACUCAAAGGAAUAGACGGGGACCCGCACAAGCGGUGGAGCAUGUGGUUUAAUUCGAAGAUACACGAAGAACCUUACCUAGGCUUGACAUUGAGAGAAUCCGCUAGAAAUAGUGGAGUGUCUAGCUUGCUAGACCUUGAAAACAGGUGCUGCACGGCUGUCGUCAGCUCGUGUCGUGAGAUGUUGGGUUAAGUCCCGCAACGAGCGCAACCCCCUUUCUUAGUUGCUAACAGGUCAUGCUGAGAACUCUAAGGAUACUGCCUCCGUAAGGAGGAGGAAGGUGGGGACGACGUCAAGUCAUCAUGGCCCUUACGCCUAGGGCUACACACGUGCUACAAUGGGGUGCACAAAGAGAAGCAAUACUGCGAAGUGGAGCCAAUCUUCAAAACACCUCUCAGUUCGGAUUGUAGGCUGCAACUCGCCUGCAUGAAGCUGGAAUCGCUAGUAAUCGCAAAUCAGCCAUGUUGCGGUGAAUACGUUCCCGGGUCUUGUACUCACCGCCCGUCACACCAUGGGAGUUGUGUUUGCCUUAAGUCAGGAUGCUAAAUUGGCUACUGCCCACGGCACACACAGCGACUGGGGUGAAGUCGUAACAAGGUAACCGUAGGUGAACCUGCGGUUGGAUCACCUCCUUU